rnacentral:rRNA from 1 species
AUUGAACGCUGGCGGCAGGCCUAACACAUGCAAGUCGAGCGGAUGAAGGGUGCUUGCUCCUGGAUUCAGCGGCGGACGGGUGAGUAAUGCCUAGGAAUCUGCCUGGUAGUGGGGGAUAACGUCCGGAAACGGGCGCUAAUACCGCAUACGUCCUGAGGGAGAAAGUGGGGGAUCUUCGGACCUCACGCUAUCAGAUGAGCCUAGGUCGGAUUAGCUAGUUGGUGGGGUAAGGGCCUACCAAGGCGACGAUCCGUAACUGGUCUGAGAGGAUGAUCAGUCACACUGGAACUGGGACACGGUCCAGACUCCUACGGGAGGCAGCAGUGGGGAAUAUUGGACAAUGGGCGAAAGCCUGAUCCAGCCAUGCCGCGUGUGUGAAGAAGGUCUUCGGAUUGUAAAGCACUUUAAGUUGGGAGGAAGGGCAGUAAGUUAAUACCUUGCUGUUUUGGCGUUACCAACAGAAUAAGCACCGGCUAACUUCGUG